CGCACAUUGCGCCCCUUGGUAUUCCGAGGGGCAUGCCUGUUCGAGCGUCAUUACAACCCUCAAGCAUAGCUUGGUAUUGGGCUCCGCUGCUCACCCAGCGGGCCUUAAAAUCAGUGGCGGUGCCGUCGAGGCCCUGAGCGUAGUAAAUAUCCUCGCUAUAGGGACCCGGUGGACGCUAGCCAUCAACCCCCACUCUCUAAGUUUGACCUCGGAUCAGGUAGGGAUACCCGCUGAACUUAA
rnacentral:misc_RNA from 1 species